rnacentral:snoRNA from 1 species
UGUCCCUGACCUGGGUAGAGUGGCAUCAAGUUGGUGGUGCUCAUCUCACACCAGCCAGGGGCAAAACAACCCCUUGUUUACUCCAGCAUGGCUUUGGUCUAUCCCCAUGCCUGGUUCAUGCCUUGGACACAUGG